GGGAAGAUGAGAAUAUUUUUUAGCUGGGCACUUUGCUGUCCUUACAACAGCAAGAUUUUGUUAGGAACGAAGAGGGUAGUGAUAAGCUCCUCACCUCCUGCCUGCCUAAGCUCCAGUUGCAAGGAAGGGAGAUAGAGUGAGAAGAAUAAAAAUAAAGAAGUUGCUCAUCUCUUCAUUUUGCAUGAGGACCUUGAAGUUUGCACAGCAUGGUGACGGUGACACCAAAUGAAAAGAGGACUGAGAACAGACUGUAAGCAAUUCAGCCUGCCAAAAAUUCAGAUUGCUAAAUAAGGGAUACCAAUCAGAUGUUUUCUAUCUUCCCUGGAGAAACUAAG